rnacentral:rRNA from 1 species
UACGGGGGGGGCAAGCGUUGUUCGGAAUUACUGGGCGUAAAGGGCUCGUAGGCGGCCAACUAAGUCAGACGUGAAAUCCCUCGGCUUAACCGGGGAACUGCGUCUGAUACUGGAUGGCUUGAGUUUGGGAGAGGGAUGCGGAAUUCCAGGUGUAGCGGUGAAAUGCGUAGAUAUCUGGAGGAACACCGGUGGCGAAGGCGGCAUCCUGGACCAACACUGACGCUGAGUGAGCGAAAGCCAGGGGAGCAAAAGCGGGG